UUUUUUGGUAUUUCGUUGGGGAUAUACCCCAAUGGAGGAAGGCGGUGCAUGCCUCUCAACCCCCCAGACGGCUGGUAGAGAGAUACCCAAUUCUUUCAAGGAGGAGACCCAACAACGGGGCUGAGGGUGUCGGAAAGAGCCCACCUUUCCACCCCCAUGGUAACUGAUAGGUCUCGAACCCACGCCCCAGCAACCCGCCGAAGCGCAAGGUAGAGACUCUACCACGGGACACGGGAGCCCCCAAGAUUGGUGACUAAAAUACAAAUUACUACAAGCAUUAACAUCAAAUUUACUGUUUGCUGUUAGCUUGUAGCAUUUAUUCUUUUCAACCCACUCAAAUAAUAGGCUACGUACUUAAACAAAUGCAUAUCAUAUAUGAUACUAUGAGCAUGUUACAAUCAAAUAACGGGAAAACGUAAGUUCUCUGACACGUACAAGACGUGACUCACUGAGCGCUGCGUGGGUGGCAUCCUAUCCUAUCGUUGGACUUGACUUAAGCUUAGUGUAUCAAUCAUUCACGUAACUAAAUGGAUUGUUAUGCGAGAAUUAGUGAUUCUCAUAAAAAAUUAAAAAAUAAGAUAAAAAUAAAAAUAUGUAUUGCAUUAUACUAGACUGGUGAUAAAUCACUUUGUUUUCGUAGUUUUAUAAUGAAUGCAUCAAGAUUCAGACAGCAGCCAGUACCGCCAGUUCGGAUAACAACUAUUUUCUGAAGUUAUACGCGUCCGCCCAGGUGACAAGCUCGCUCACACGCUUCUUAUCACAUCAUCAACACUCAGCACCACGGUGAGCUCGAUCUCCUCCUGCCGUGACCUACUGAGAAAGCUUUCUCCACGACUUAAGAGGAAACACACAUCGAGAUCAUGGCGUCAAAAUCAUGUUCGGUGUGCCUAAACCCUUGGGAUCGUGAGGAUCAUCUUCCAGUGGCAUUGCCUGCUUGUGGACACAGCUUCUGCAGGAAUUGUCUUGUAGUGAUGUAUAGAAAUGACGAGUGUAUUAGGUGUCCCACAUGCAGGUCAGUAUCACUUGUGCUGCACUAACCUUUCAUAGUGUUCUUUAUUAGAAUCGACUACAUGUCUAAAUCACUCAUACCAGGACUCAGUUGAAGUUUGAAGAUCUAGAAAUUUAUAUAGUCAUUUGUAAGCUAAUAAUACAAGAUACGUGUAUACAGUACCCUCCUGAGUUUCGUGCUAUCUGAGUGUCGCGAUCCGAGAGUUUCGAAGUUAAUCCUAAAUUCUUACCACCCCGACUUUUGCGCAUUAUUACCCCAAGUUUUGCUCUGCUUUGACAUGUACGGAUCAUGUCUACUUACCAAUGGCAUCACGCGUGCUACCUUAAAAAGACAGUGUCACACUGGACGUUUUCCUCCAAACAUUGGGGAGAGAGAGAGAGAGAGAGAGAGAGAGAGAGAGAGAGAGAGAGAGAGAGAGAGAGAGAGACUUAUUAAAUGAUGAAGCUAGAGUUGGGGAGAGUGGGAGGGGGGAGGAUGUGAGGGACUCCUGUCCAAGUAGAGUCUCAAAAUACAUACGUACCUUGGAAAAAGGAAGAAAAUGGGAAGAGAGGACGGGUCGUUUUGAAGCCGCAGUUGAAGGUGGCUGCCUUAUGAUUGGCUGACAGUUCUGAAAACACACUUGUGAUUCGCUGGGAGUCCGAUGAUGUCAUCGCCGGCACUCACCCAAUCAGCAGCCUCACUGCCAUGAGGCGGUGUCACACUGGCUGUUUUCCUCCAAAUGUUGGGGCUACUGGCAACGCCUGUACGCCCAACCGGGAGCGAGUUGACCGUUAUCCGUAAGCUGGUGUCACACAGGGCCUUUUUCUUCCCACUGCGUUGGUGGCAGGCAGGUUGGGCAACCGGUAACUCCAACUUUUCUGGGUGUGCGUCACACACGGCCAAGGUCAGUUGCCCGCAUCCACAUCCACAAUGUAAACAAAGCACUUGCCUCGUAUUGACAUGGCGUCGUUUGCUAAAGUAAGGGCUGUCGCGGCUUGUGCUGCCAUUAGCCCAUUACCCAAGUUAUGGACUUGUUGCUGCAGUUAAAUGGAAGGAAGAAGCGGUUGUGGGUGUGGUGUGCCUGUGGUUCCUCUGUGCCAGAAGUUCUCAUUUUCACCACUGUGCAUGCGUGGCCAACCUACCCAUCUAGACUCCGGCCACAUAAACGCAAAGAUCGAAUAACAACACACACACACACACACACACACACACACACACACUGGUUUAAUGCAAGGUGUGCUAAGGCAAAAGAAAAAAAGAGACAAAGCAUGGAAAAGAUUAAAAAGAAACAUAAACCAUAGGAAUAAAGAAGAUUUUAAGAUAGCAAGAAAUGAAUACGUGAAAAUAAGGAAGGAAGAAGAGAAGGGAUAUGAAUAGGAUAUUGUGGAAAAGUGCAAGGAACAACCUAAACUAUUUUAUAGAUUCAUAAAUGUAAAGAUUAAACCAAGAGAAACAAUUGAAAGACUGAGCGAUAGGAAUGUGACAGUCAAUGAACCUCAAGACAUGGCGGAGUUACUAAACAAAAAGUUCCAGCAAGUUUUUACUAAUGAACCAAUAUUUAAUGAUCCACAAGAAAACAAGAUCAAUGUUCAUAUGGAAAAAGUUACAGUAAAUAAAGAGGAGAUAUAUGAAUUGUUGGAGGAGCUGGAAGAGAGGAAAGCUGUAGGACCAGAUGGAGUCUCAGGGUAUAUACAGGUAACUCUCGAUUUACGCGAGUUUGGUUUACGCGUUUUUUAAAUAAUGCGGGGUCUAAAAUCCAAAUAAAUGUUUAAUUCACACGCUUUUUUCACUUAUACUCGAUAUUUUAUGGAGUGGUCACCAGAUGUCUCACGCAACUGGACUACACGGCGCCAUGGCCACACAGCUGAGCUCAGUCCUUCCCGCGCGCCACUUGAACAACUUGAACAACAAUACAGUAUCCACGCUGCCAUGAUACUCAACAAUAGGGGUGGAACAACUUGAACAACAAUACAGUACCCACGCUGCCAUGAUACUCAACAAUAGGGGUGGAACAACUUGAACAACAAUACAGUACCCACGCUGCCAUGAUACUCAACAAUAGGGGUGGAACAACUUGAACAACAAUACAGUACCCACGCUG